rnacentral:piRNA from 1 species
UGGGGUGACCGAUGGUCCCUGGUCUGUGC